AGCAGUACAGAGGCCAGUAACAGCAGCCCCAGCAGCCACAUGCCAGAUAUACACAGCUGUAUGUGGCGCUGUACUGAUCCAUCUGAACCCUGCACUGCAUGCCAGCUGAUUGAUUUAGUGGGAACUGGGAGACAAUCCAAGAGAGGCUGAAAGUUCACGGCACGGCUCAAAUAAGGAAGGAGAACUGUCACUUUAUCUUGUUCAGAACCAGGGAUCCUAGCUAAUCCUCAUCCAUUUCCUCACUGCCUAAACUCGGGUCAUUAUGUUUAUCUUCCCUCCACUGGAACCUUGGAUUCUGCUCCUGCUACACUGGCUCUGAUAAUCUGUCUCUUUGGGAGCCCAUACUUGAACGGGGAAGACAACAUGCAAAUAACUAUGUACAAGUAAG